rnacentral:rRNA from 1 species
CCUACGGGAGGCAGCAGUCGAGAAUCAUUCACAAUGGGGGAAACCCUGAUGGUGCGACGCCGCGUGGGGGAAUGAAGGUCUUCGGAUUGUAAACCCCUGUCAUGUGGGAGCAAAUUAAAAAGAUAGUACCACAAGAGGAAGAGACGGCCAACUCUGUGCCAGCAGCCGCGGUAAUACGUAGGGAGCGAGCGUUAUCCGGAUUUAUUGGGUGUAAAGGGUGCGAAGACGGGUCUACAAGUUAGUUGUGAAAUCCCUCGGCUCAACUGAGGAACUGCAGCUAAAACUAUAGAUCUUGAGUGCAGGAG